rnacentral:rRNA from 1 species
AUACGUAGGUGACAAGCGUUAUCCGGAUUUACUGGGCGUAAAGGGCGUGUAGGCGGUCUUGCAAGUCAGAAGUAAAAUUCCUGAGCUCAACUCGGGCGCUGCUUCUGAAACUGCAGGACUUGAGUGCUGGAGGGGAUAGCGGAAUUCCUAGUGGAGCGGUAAAAUGCGCAGAUAUUAGGAAGAACACCGGUGGCGAAGGCAUCUCACGAAGGGUUGAUUGACGCUGAGGCACGAAAGCGUGGGGAUCAAACAGGAUUAGAUUCCCUGGUAGUCCACGCAGUAAACGAUGAUGGCUAACCGCUGGGCUUAUCAGUUCAGUGGCCAAGCGAAAGCGAUAAGCCACCCACCUGGGGAGUACGACCGCAAGGUUGAAACUCAAAGGAAUUGACGGGG